rnacentral:rRNA from 1 species
CAGUCGCCGCGGUAAUACGUAGGGUGCAAGCGUUAAUCGGAAUUACUGGGCGUAAAGGGUGCGUAGGCGGUUGUUUAAGUCUGUUGUGAAAUCCCCGGGCUCAACCUGGGAAUGGCAAUGGAAACUGGACGGCUAGAGUGUGUCAGAGGAUGGUGGAAUUCCCGGUGUAGCGGUGAAAUGCGUAGAUAUCGGAAGGAACACCUGUGGCGAAAGCGGCUCACUGGACAAUAACUGACGCUGAUGCACGAAAGCUAGGGGAGCAAACAGGAUUAGAUACCCCCGUAGUCCCUGUCUCUUAUAA